GCCUGGCUGACUCAGUCAGCAGAGCAUGAGACUCCUGAUCUCACAGUUGUGAGUUCAAGUCCCAUGUUGGGUG
rnacentral:tRNA from 1 species